CGCUUUACUCGUCAACAAGUUGCUUUGAGAGUCUAGAUACCAGAGCCCCAUUUCACAUUUCACACCUGUGGAAAAAAGGUACCGCUGUCCCCAGUCGUUACCCGGUAGGGUGGACUAUGACGGAGAAGGAUCCUUACCCAGAUGCUCCACGGCAGGACUCCAGAGUCUGUCGAUGAGACCCUCGUUUAAAAUCCACUCCCGUGUGUACGUGUGUCAAAGCCCUCCUCUGCUUUGAUCACAGCGAAAUGACAUUCAAUCCAGACCUAUAUCGGCCUACACCUCGAGGGUUCAGCGUUCAGAGGAUCCACAAGCAGUCUGUCUUAAGGCGAAGGGCGAGGAAAUGGAGCAGGAUCAGGGAAGUUUGGGUUUGGGUUGGGGGUUGGGGGGGAAUGCUGGUUUCCACCGGGAACCCUGAUGGCGUAAGGCUGCUCGACGAAAAGAACCACAACGUGGUCGCACUAGCGGAAUAUUCACAGGACAGAAGCGCUCUUCCUCCGCAUGUGGUGCCGCUCAGACCCUGAUGCAGCACCGCCUGGUCCCCCUGGUCUUCAGUAGUCUCUUCAGUAGUCUCUGUGUUUCCCGACACCAAACACCCAGAGAUACAGUUCACAACAGGUCUGUAGUCGUCAAUUUGCAACAGAUGUGUCUGGAUUUCAAAGUUUGAGGGUAGGCUAUCAUCCACACGGAGCCCAGCAGCCUACAUCCGCACCGAGACGAGCAGGCAAGUGGACAGCGAGCCCGGGUCGGGACAAAAAAAAGAGUUGCGAGGUCUUCCGUGAUUUCGGUGGUAGGAGAUUGAAAAGAAGGAGGUGAGCUCAGCUCGAUGCGCUGCAGGAGAGCCCCGGAAAAGAGAGAGGGGAGGGGCCAAAGCAGGAUUCCCUUCUCUAAACGGGCCCUUCAGAGCCGUCUGACUGUCUGACUGUGGGCAUGGCCUGAAUGGAAAGGGAUGGGCUGCAAACCAAACUCCAUAUCCUGAUCCAGGGCUAGGCCAGAGGACUCAAAGAAACCGAGCGGCAGAAUGGCCUAUCCCAAUCACAUCUAUUAUUGUGUUUGGAGAUAGGCCUACCAUAUGGAACUGAGAAUACAGUGCUCUGUUGACAUUACAUACAAGGCUAUGGCUGUUAUGGCAACACGGAAUGGGAGAGGUGGACACAAUGCAGAGACGCUCUUCCCAGACCCUACUGAUGCUAGGAUCCAAACAUUAUCUUCAGCCCAAACAGGGAGGGAGGGGCACAAGUCGAGUUUCUUCACUGGGGUGCAUGAUGACAUCCAGAUACAAACCAAGUUGAUAGACUUCAAAUAAACAAAAAUGAGUCAUUUAAACGAUUCUCUUUCCUGUUGUUCAGUGGGCCGGGAAAUGGCCGUUAACGAUAGAAUGGAUGAGUAAGGGGGACAGACAUUGCUGUAAGCUAAGCACAGGGAGGUUAGUUUUUAGGAAUAUAAGUUAAUUAAUGUUAUAUGCAUGAGGGGGAAUUUAGUAUUAGUUC
ensembl:lncRNA